GGUAUCUAUUAAUGAUCUACAAAUUUUCAGAGCAUCAAAUUUUUCUGUUUUAAAUGUGACAAUUUUUGUGUGGAUUCAAUGAUUUUUGUUAGUACUAAUUUUUCAUGGAUUAGAAAGAACUGUGAUAUUUGUUUUCAUGGUUUUGACAUAGUUGGCUUACAAAAUUCCUACUUUGGUUAACAUUUAAAUUUCUUGUUUACAUAUACCACCCAAUCGUACAAAAUUUUGACCUCACGAAAAGUAAAUGAAAUUAAUGCAUACAGCUAAAUAGAAGCAGCUAAAUAGAACUUACAGCCCGUUGACCAAGAUUUGUUUUCUUCUUAUUUAUAUUUUUAGAAUAUCUCAACUGUAUUAUAGAAUUUUUAUUUAACUGAUUUUGCAAAUAUUUUUUUUUAAUAACAGUGUAAAUGUAUGUCAGAACAAACAAAACAGAGUCUCUUAUAAA
rnacentral:lncRNA from 1 species